rnacentral:rRNA from 1 species
AGAGUUUUGAUCAUGGCUCAGAACGAACGCUGGCGGCAUGCCUAACACAUGCAAGUCGAACGAGACCUUCGGGUCUAGUGGCGCACGGGUGCGUAACGCGUGGGGAUCUGCCCUUUGCUUCGGAAUAACAGUUAGAAAUGACUGCUAAUACCGGAUGAUGUCGUAAGACCAAAGAUUUAUCGGCAAAGGAUGAACCCGCGUAGGAUUAGCUAGUUGGUGGGGUAAAGGCCUACCAAGGCGACGAUCCUUAGCUGGUCUGAGAGGAUGAUCAGCCACACUGGGACUGAGACACGGCCCAGACUCCUACGGGAGGCAGCAGUGGGGAAUAUUGGACAAUGGGCGAAAGCCUGAUCCAGCAAUGCCGCGUGAGUGAUGAAGGCCUUCGGGUUGUAAAGCUCUUUUACCAGGGAUGAUAAUGACAGUACCUGGAGAAUAAGCUCCGGCUAACUCCGUG